rnacentral:rRNA from 1 species
AGCCCCCUAGGGGGGGGGCCAGUUGGGAAUCUUCGGCAAUGGGGGCAACCCUGACCGAGCAACGCCGCGUGAGUGAAGAAGGUUUUCGGAUCGUAAAGCUCUGUUGUAAGUCAAGAACGAGUGUGAGAGUGGAAAGUUCACACUGUGACGGUAGCUUACCAGAAAGGGACGGCUAACUACGUGCCAGCAGCCGCGGUAAUACGUAGGUCCCGAGCGUUGUCCGGAUUUAUUGGGCGUAAAGCGAGCGCAGGCGGUUUGAUAAGUCUGAAGUUAAAGGCUGUGGCUCAACCAUAGUUCGCUUUGGAAACUGUCAAACUUGAGUGCAGAAGGGGAGAGUGGAAUUCCAUGUGUAGCGGUGAAAUGCGUAGAUAUAUGGAGGAACACCGGUGGCGAAAGCGGCUCUCUGGUCUGUAACUGACGCUGAGGCUCGAAAGCGUGGGGAGCGAACAGGAUUAGAUACCCUGGUAGUCCACGCCGUAAACGAUGAGUGCUAGGUGUUGGGUCCUUUCCGGGAUUCAGUGCCGCAGCUAACGCAUUAAGCACUCCGCCUGGGAGACAUCCA